UACGUAGGGUGCAAGCGUUGUCCGGAAUUAUUGGGCGUAAAGAGCUCGUAGGCGGUUUGUCGCGUCUGCUGUGAAAACCGGAGGCUCAACCUCCGGCCUGCAGUGGGUACGGGCAGACUAGAGUGCGGUAGGGGAGGAUUGGAAUUCCUGGUGUAGCGGUGAAAUGCGCAGAUAUCAGGAGGAACACCGGUGGCGAAGGCGGAUCUCUGGGCCGACUACUGACGCUGAGGAGCGAAAGCGUGGGGAGCGAACAGG
rnacentral:rRNA from 1 species